rnacentral:rRNA from 1 species
GAUGAACGCUAGCGGCAGGCUUAACACAUGCAAGUCGAGGGGCAGCACAGGUAGCAAUACUGGGUGGCGACCGGCAAACGGGUGCGGAACACGUACGCAACUUACCCUAAACAGAUGAAUAGCCCUCGGAAACGGGGAUUAAUACAUCGUAAACUAUAAGAGUGGCAUCAUUUUUAUAGAAUAGCUGAGGCGGUUUAGGAUGGGCGUGCGUCCCAUUAGCUAGUUGGUAAGGUAACGGCUUACCAAGGCGACGAUGGGUAACUGGUGUGAGAGCACGACCAGUCACACGGGAACUGAGAAACGGGCCCGACUCCUACGGGAGGCAGCAGUGAGGAAUAUUGGUCAAUGGACGCAAGUCUGAACCAGCCAUGCCGCGUGAAGGAUGAAGGCGUUCUGCGUUGUAAACUUCUUUUAUCUGGGAAGAAACCUCAGUAUUCUUAUUGAGCCGACGGUACCUGAUGAAUAAGCACCGGCUAACUCCGUGCCAGCCGCCGCAGUAAAAC